UCUGUUAUUAAGUCAGAAAAAAAAGAUUGCAGAGGCCCUCUCUCCCCUGUAUGAGGACACGAGACGCCCUGACGGUAGGGUUCCCUUCGCCGCCAUGCCGCCGCUUCCGGCAGCCCUCGCCACCAUCUUCCGUCCCCAAUCGCCGUUGUAGUCCUCCCCCGCCGGUAAAUAGCCUUGAAGGAGCCCUAGCCACCGUUUCCCUGGAGCACAGCGGCCGCCGAUAUUCACGAUGGAGCGCCGGUGGACGUCCUGAUCGUGGGCGAGGACCCCGCCGAGGCGACUAACCUCGCCACCGCGCGACUCCCCCCAGCAUCUCUGCCAUCUCCUCGCACUGCCGUGUGCAAGGACCAAGGAUACCACCGGCUCUCCUUGAUAUCUCUGUCUCCACUCCCCCGAGGUGCGAGGACUUCGUCGGCGUCAAAGCCACUGCCGGGCGGGACGUGCAGGCGCCCGAGGGGCGCGGCGCUCCUCUCCUGGUGCGGCGCAAAAGGGAGGGAGGAGAGGAUCGAGCUGCCGGCACACCACCCGGCGUUCGCCCCUGGUCCAGACUUUGUCGGAACUCCAUCUGUCGGUUCUGCACUUAAAUCAUCGGACUAUAGAUUAUUGAUCACGCAUGAAAUGUUGUAAAGGAAAAGAAUCUACAUUUGCAUGCUUGAUUUGAAGACUUGCUAGCUGGGUGAAGAAGCUUUCUGACAAACAUCCAAAUAACUCUAAUAGGCCAAGUUGAGCAUAUGUUAGAUGGUCUAGAUGACAUGGAUGGUGCCGAGGAUGUGCGUUUUGAUGAGCUCAUAGGCAUGCAAGGCGUAGUAUUUCACUUGGUUGGGAAUGCAAUUACAGUAAGCAUAUCUUAUUUGUCUUAUUUUAGUUAGACAAAUGUGUUUCCUUCAGGUUUACAUGUAUCUGUAUAGAUAUUCUGACUAAUAUUUUCAUGCUAUGCAAAAGACUAGACCUUGUUUCCUCAUAAUUUAUGGUUGAACAACAUUUGUAUUGAUUA